GGGUGAGUAACGCGUGGGUAAUCUACCCUUGAAUUCGGGAUAACUUCGCGAAAGCGGGGCUAAUACCGGAUAACAUCCUUUGUCCUUCGGUACAUUGGACCAAAGGUGGCCUCUACAUGUAAGCUACUGUUUGGGGAUGAGCCCGCGUACCAUUAGCUUGUUGGUGAGGUAAAAGCUCACCAAGGCUGCGAUGGUUAGCUGGUCUGAGAGGAUGAUCAGCCACACUGGAACUGACACACGGUCCAGACUCCUACGGGAGGCAGCAGUGAGGAAUUUUGCGCAAUGGGGGAAACCCUGACGCAGCAACGCCGCGUGAGUGAAGAAGGCUUUCGGGUCGUAAAGCUCUGUCAAGUGGGAAGAACCUGUUUGAUGUUAAUAUCAUCAAGCACUGACGGUACCACUGAAGGAAGCACCGGCUAACUCCGUGCCAGCAGCCGCGGUAAUACGGGGGGUGCGAGCGUUAUUCGGAUUUACUGGGCGUAAAGGGCGCGUAGGCGGUCACUUAAGUCAGAUGUGAAAGCCCGGGGCUUAACCCCGGAACUGCAUUUGAAACUAAGUGACUUGAGUAUGGGAGAGGGAAGUGGAAUUCCUGGUGUAGCGGUGAAAUGCGUAGAUAUCAGGAGGAACACCGGUGGCGAAGGCGACUUCCUGGACCAAUACUGACGCUGAGGCGCGAAGGCGUGGGGAGCAAACAGGAUUAGAUAGCCUGGUAGUCCACGCAGUAAACGGUGAACACUAGGUGUAGCGGGUAUUGACCCCUGCUGUGCCGCAGCUAACGCAUUAAGUGUUCCGCCUGGGAAGUACGAUCGCAAGAUUAAAACUCAAAGGAAUUGACGGGGGCCCGCACAAGCGGUGGAGCAUGUGGUUUAAUUCGACGCAACGCGAAGAACCUUACCUGGAUUUGACAUCCCGGGAAUUCCGUGGAAACAUGGAAGUGCCCUUCGGGGAACCCGGUGACAGGUGCUGCAUGGCUGUCGUCAGCUCGUGUCGUGAGAUGUUGGGUUAAGUCCCGCAACGAGCGCAACCCCUAUCUUUAGUUGCCAGCAUUCAGUUGGGGACUCUAGAGAUACUGCCCCGGUCAACGGGGAGGAAGGUGGGGAUGACGUCAAGUCCUCAUGGCCCUUAUGUCCAGGGCUACACACGUGCUACAAUGGGCUGUACAAAGGGUAGCGAUCUCGCGAGAGUGAGCCAAUCUCAGAAAACAGCUCCCAGUUCGGAUUGGAGUCUGCAACUCGACUCCAUGAAGUUGGAAUCGCUAGUAAUCGUGGAUCAGCAUGCCACGGUGAAUACGUUCCCGGGGCCUUGUACACACCGCCCGUCACACCAUGAGAGUUGGUUGUACCCGAAGUUGCUGGACCAACCUAUUCAGGAGGUAGGCACCUAAGGUAUGAUCGAUGAUUGGGGUGAAGUCGUAACAAGGUA
rnacentral:rRNA from 1 species